rnacentral:rRNA from 1 species
UGCAGCCGCGGUAAUUCCAGCUCCAAUAGGGUAUAUUAAAGUUGUUGCAGUUAAAAAGCUCGUAGUUGAAUUUCGGGGUCAGUAGAUUGGUCGUGCCACUGGUAUGUACUGGUCUUACUGGCUCCUCCUUCCUGAUGAACCGUAAUGCCGUUAAUUUGGUGUUGCGGGGAAACUGGACUGUUACUUUGAAAAAAUUAGAGUGUUUAAAGCAGGCUAACGCUUGGAUACAUUAGCAUGGAAUAAUGAAAUAGGACGUUCGAUCUUAUUUUGUUGGUUUCUAGGAUUGACGUAAUGAUUAAUAGGGAUAGUUGGGGGCAUUAGUAUUCAAUUGUCAGAGGUGAAAUUCUUGGAUUUAUUGAAGACUAACUACUGCGAAAGCAUUUGCCAAGGAUGUUUUCAUUAAUCAAGAACGAAAGUUAGGGGAUCGAAGACGAUCAGAUACCGUCGUAG